UAAGCAUAUCACUAAGCGGAGGAAAAGAAACUAACUAGGAUUCCCCCAGUAACUGCGAGUGAAGAGGGAAGAGCUCAUCAUUGGAAUCUGGCAGUGUUGCACUGUCCGAGUUGUAGAUGAGGAGUAGUCCGUCUGGACUGCAUGGCGUCCAAGUACAAUAGGCCGUCAGUGGGACAUCAUAGAGGGUGACAAUCCCGUCCUUGACGCCAAUGUGCAAGUCUAUUACGAUGGCUAUCUCAGAGAGUCGAGCAGUUUGGGAUUUGCUGCUUAAACAUGGGAGGUAGAUUCCUUCUAAAGCUAAAUACAGGCGAGAGACCGAUAGAGAACAAGUACCGCAAGGGAAAGAUGAAAUAGCACUCUGUGAAGGGAGUCAAAAGGCGUGAAAUUGUUGCGAGAGAAGCGAUUCAAGUCAGCGUAGCUAGGCCCAUCAAGCGUCUUCGCUUUGGACUAGCUUUGCCAGCGGUCUUGUCCCUUCAAGAGACUUGACUUGUAAUAUGUCCAGCCUGGCGUGCACAGGCAGCCCCUUCUGGGGGCCAGUGGCAUGGCUGGUGGAAUGGCUUGCAAUCGACCCGUCUUGAAACACGGACCAAGGAGUCUAACAUGUAUGCGAGUAUAAGGGUGGCAAACCCGUAUGCGCAAUGAAAGUGAUUUUCGGUGAUUGAGAAUGGCCUGAUGACCAGACAAGCAAUAUAUGUCCCUCGUACGGCCAUUGCCCAAGUUCCGUGGUAGAUCCCACGAACAUGGAGUUGGAGCAUACAUGCUAGGACCCGAAAGAUGGUGAACUAUGCCUGGACAAAGCGAAGCCAAAGGAAACUCUGGUGGAGGCUUGUAGCGAUUCUGACGUGCAAAUCGAUCGUCUGAUCUGGGUAUAGGGGCGAAAGACUAAUCGAACCAUCUCAUAGCUGGUUCCUGCCGAAGU
rnacentral:rRNA from 1 species